rnacentral:rRNA from 1 species
UACAGAGGGGGCAAGCGUUGUUCGGAAUUACUGGGCAUAAAGGGCGCGUAGGCGGCCUGCUAAGUCGAACGUGAAAUCCCUGGGCUCAACCCAGGAACUGCGUCCGAUACUGGUUGGCUUGAAUCCGGGAGAGGGAUGUGGAAUUCCAGGUGUAGCGGUGAAAUGCGUAGAUAUCGAGAGGAACACCGUGCGGCGAAGGCGGGUAGCUGGGCCGACACUGACGCUGAUGCGCGAAAGCCAGGGGAGCGAACGGG